UGGUUAGUGCGUUGGUAUCCCAUACCUAAGGUCGCAGGUUCACUGCCCGGCCAGAGCAAAAUCAUAAAUAACAAUAUAGAGAGAAUCAAGCUUUCUCCAAAAUCACUUACUGCCCCUUUAACUGCUUUUCACUCGUUCACAUGGACUUCGGUUUCUCGAGGACUGUCAGCAUCGUUGAGCUUAAGCCAGGAGAGACAACACAAAGGGCAGCCUGAGAGUAGCAGCCAACAAGUUCCAGAGAACAGAGAAGCGAUUCCUCCAACAAUCUCCACCGAGCUAAGGAUCUCCCUCAAAACGAAAGGACAUGACCCUAUACAAAUAUGUCUGGAAUUGCCCGAGAUUUACACUUUGCCAUGGCUGACUCUCACUACCGGCCAAAAUCCUUGUGGUUCUGCUAAAAGUUUGGAGGAUUUAAAAUUCCAAUACCAUAAGGAUUGUAAAGAAAAAACUAAUCAGCAUGCAUUUGUCAUAAUAGUGGGUGAAAAUGGUACAUUCAAUCAUGAAGUCCCCAACCCGCUAUAUGAAGAGAAGAAACACACAGAGAUGCCCUGUUUAAAACCAGAGUGGACACAUGAAAAGUCUGGAACAGCAACACGAUUCCACUCAUCUAUAAAUAUCCCUCACGUAGAAUGACGACUCGUAGCAUGGUGAUUUACGUCAGGCAGAAGUGAACCAGUUUAACCUGAAGUUACCUCGACAACCGCAAAUGUUGCUUUGACGCACAGGCCCCUGGUUAAUCCAUUACAGCUCUCUGACUUCAUUUAAGUGUGUGUGCGUAUGGGGACAUAAACACGAACGAGAAUUAGAAGGUGAACAAACCUGACCCAGUGUUAGUCUCCAGACAUUCAUCUGUACAAUGGGCAAUAACACACAGAUUUACUUUCAUUUAUUAGUAGUUUUAUUACUGUUACAUGACCUUGUUACACCAUUGUCCCAGCACACACACUGUUAUCCUUUUUGACAUGGAGCUUUGAGAAUUGGCACAAACAAUAUAUGAAUGUCUCUGUAUGCAAUACUGAUUUUAAAUAGAAAAAAAAUCAAAAAUAAAUAUCCAAUGUGAAACAAGAAAAAAAUCUAGAGCGGUAUCUUGAUAAGACAGAAUGUGACUUCUAAACAUUAAAAUUAAAAGCCCAUGGCCUUAUGAUAAUUUAUAACCAGUCUAAGUAGAGAACAUAGCAGGAUGUGAACAUACAAGCAUUCGUUUAGACUCGGUUGAAAUUCUCUACUAAGACUUGAUGUGAAGUAGACUUGUUAAUUAAAAUACAACAACAAAAAUCAAUUUCCUCUGAUCUCAGAGCAUAUGAUUUGUCAAGAUUAUGAAUUUUAACCCACAAAUUAUGGUGAAAUCAAAUGUUUGUCAGCCCAGAGAAUGAAUAAGGCAAGCAAGCUCUCACUGUUUAUACAGCGACGUUUCCUAUUUACAUUGCGUUGACAUAGUUUAUUAAGUUUGCCGACAGUUGAGUUGGGGUUUGUCUCCCCCUGCAGACAGCAGUGAUGAGUGCACAAGUGGUCUCAUGCUUUUAGAUUUCCCAUUACAGAGCACUCAGAAGAAACCAUGACGAGUGAAGAGUCUGGCAACUGGAAAAAAAAAGCUCUUCCUAGAUGAGAAAAUAAUUCUCACCGUCUCUUGAUGUUGGUUUUGGUUGAAU
ensembl:lncRNA